AUACGUAGGGGGCAAGCGUUGUCCGGAAUUACUGGGCGUAAAGGGCGUGUAGGCGGCCAUGUAUGUCAGGUGUGAAAUGCCACGGCUCAACCGAGGCACUGCACAUGAAACUGCAUGGCUUGAGUGCAGGAGAGGGAAGUGGAAUUCCUAGUGUAGCGGUGAAAUGCGUAGAUAUUAGGAGGAACACCAGUGGCGAAGGCGACUUCCUGGACUGUAACUGACGCUGAGGCGCGAAAGCGUGGGUAGCAAACAGGAUUAGAUACCCUGGUAGUCCACGCUGUAAACGAUGGGUACUAGGUGUGGGUAGUUCACUCUAUCCGUGCCGCAGCAAACGCAAUAAGUACCCCGCCUGGGGAGUACGGCCGCAAGGUUGAA
rnacentral:rRNA from 1 species